UACAGAGGUCUCAAGCGUUGUUCGGAUUCAUUGGGCGUAAAGGGUGCGUAGGUGGCGCUGUAAGUCAGGUGUGAAAUUUCGGAGCUUAACUCCGAAACUGCAUUUGAUACUGCGGUGCUUGAGGACUGGAGAGGAGACUGGAAUUUACGGUGUAGCAGUGAAAUGCGUAGAGAUCGUAAGGAAGACCAGUGGCGAAGGCGGGUCUCUGGACAGUUCCUGACACUGAGGCACGAAGGCCAGGGGGAGCAAACGGG
rnacentral:rRNA from 1 species